AACGCAACUUGCACCCCUUGGUAUUCCGAGGGGUACGCCUGUUUGAGUGUCGUGAAUUCCUCCACCCACCAUCCUUUGUUGUGUUGGUUGGGCUGGGAUUUGGGGGUUUUUUGUGGGUCCUCUGUUGAUCCACUCCCCUUAAAUGUAUCAGUGAAGACCCAUAUGGUCCUUGGUGUGAUAGAUAUCUAUGCCAUGGAUUCACUUGGAUAGUGCUUUGCUUCGAACCGUCCCCUCAUAGGGACAGUCUAUAUCGAACACUUGACCUCAAAUCAGGCGGGACUACCCGCUGAACUUAA
rnacentral:misc_RNA from 1 species